AGCGAACGCUGGCGGCAGGCCUAACACAUGCAAGUCGAGCGGCCGUAGCAAUACGGCAGCGGCAGACGGGAGAGUAACACGUGGGAACGCGCCCUUCGGUUCGGGAUAACUCAGGGAAACUUGGGCUAAUACCGGAUACGCCCUUACGGGGAAAGAUUUAUUGCCGAAGGAACGGCCCGCGUCCGAUUAGCUUGUUGGUGAGGUAACGGCUCACCAAGGCGACGAUCGGUAGCUGGUCUGAGAGGAUGACCAGCCUCACUGGGACUGAGACACGGCCCAGACUCCUACGGGAGGCAGCAGUGGGGAAUAUUGGACAAUGGGCGCAAGCCUGAUCCAGCCAUGCCGCGUGGGUGAUGAAGGCCCUAGGGUUGUAAAGCCCUUUCAGCGGGGAAGAUAAUGACGGUACCCGCAGAAGAAGCCCCGGCUAACUUCGUGCCAGCCGCCGCGGUAAAAC
rnacentral:rRNA from 1 species